rnacentral:rRNA from 1 species
UGGAAACGCUACGGCAGGCUUAUUCAUGCAGUCGAGGGGCAGCACAGUGUAGCACUACCGGGUGGCGACCGGCAAACGGGUGCGACACGUACACAACCUUCCUUAAGGUGGGGGAUAGCCCAGAGAAAUUUGGAUUAAUACCUCAUAGCAUAUUGGGAUCGCAUGAUUUUGAUAUUACAGAUUUAUUGCCUUAAGAUGGGUGUGCGUAUGAUUAGGUAGUUGGUGUAGGUAACGGCUCACCAAGCCUUCGAUCAUUAACUGGUGUGAGAGCACGACCAGUCACACGGGCACUGAGACACGGGCCCGACUCCUACGGGAGGCAGCAGUAAGGAAUAUUGGUCAAUGGACGGAAGUCUGAACCAGCCAUGCCGCGUGAAGGAUGAAGGCCCUCUGGGUUGUAAACUUCUUUUCUCUGGGGCGAAAAAAGGGAAUUCUUUCCCGUCUGACGGUACCAGAGGAAUAAGCACCGGCUAACUCCGUGCCAGCAGCCGCGGUAAUACGGAGGGUGCAAGCGUUAUCCGGAUUCACUGGGUUUAAAGGGAGCGCAGGCGGACAUGUAAGUCAGUGGUGAAAUACCUGAGCUUAACUCGGGAACUGCCAUUGAUACUAUGUGUCUUGA